ensembl:misc_RNA Y_RNA Y RNA
GGCUGGUCUGAAUGCAAUUGCAUUUACAACUAAUCAAACAUAACAAAUUACAGGUUCCCUUGUUCAUUCUCCAUUCCCAUUACUUCACUCGAUUAGCCUUAA